AUUGAACGCUGGCGGCAGGCUUAACACAUGCAAGUCGGACGGUAACAGGGAGGAAGCUUGCUUUCUUUGCUGACGAGUGGCGGACGGGUGAGUAAUGCUUGGGAAUCUGUUUUAUGGAGGGGGAUAACUACGGGAAACUGUAGCUAAUACCGCGUAAUAUCGAGAGAUUAAAGUGUGGGACCGUAAGGCCACAUGCCAUAGAGUGAGCCCAAGUGGGAUUAGGUAGUUGGUGGGGUAAAGGCCUACCAAGCCGUCGAUCUCUAGCUGGUCUGAGAGGAUGACCAGCCACACUGGGACUGAGACACGGCCCAGACUCCUACGGGAGGCAGCAGUGGGGAAUAUUGCACAAUGGGCGCAAGCCUGAUGCAGCCAUGCCGCGUGAAUGAAGAAGGCCUUCGGGUUGUAAAGUUCUUUCGGUGGUGAGGAAGGUUGUAAUGUUAAUAGCAUUAUAAUUUGACGUUAGCCACAGAAGAAGCACCGGCUAACUCCGUGCCAGCAGCCGCGGUAAUACGGAGGGUGCGAGCGUUAAUCGGAAUAACUGGGCGUAAAGGGCACGCAGGCGGAUACUUAAGUGAGGUGUGAAAGCCCUGGGCCUAACCUAGGAAUUGCAUUUCAUACUGGGUAUCUAGAGUAUUUUAGGGAGGGGUAGAAUUCCACGUGUAGCGGUGAAAUGCGUAGAGAUGUGGAGGAAUACCGAAGGCGAAGGCAGCCCCUUGGGGGAAUACUGACGCUCAUGUGCGAAAGCGUGGGGAGCAAACAGG
rnacentral:rRNA from 1 species